rnacentral:rRNA from 1 species
ACUAAGCGUACACGGUGGAUGCCCUGGCAGUCAGAGGCGAUGAAGGGCGUGCUAAUCUGCGAUAAGCGCCGGUAAGGUGAUAUGAACCGUUAUAACCGGCGAUACCCGAAUGGGGAAACCCAGUGUGAUUCGUCACACUAUCAUUAACUGAAUCCAUAGGUUAAUGAGGCGAACCGGGGGAACUGAAACAUCUAAGUACCCCGAGGAAAAGAAAUCAACCGAGAUUCCCCCAGUAGCGGCGAGCGAACGGGGAGGAGCCCAGAGCCUGAAUCAGCAUGUGUGUUAGUGGAAGCGUCUGGAAAGGCGCGCGAUACAGGGUGACAGCCCCGUACACAAAAGCGCAUGUGUUGUGAGCUCGAUGAGUAGGGCGGGACACGUGGUAUCCUGUCUGAAUAUGGGGGGACCAUCCUCCAAGGCUAAAUACUCCUGACUGACCGAUAGUGAACCAGUACCGUGAGGGAAAGGCGAAAAGAACCCCGGCGAGGGGAGUGAAAAAGAACCUGAAACCGUGUACGUACAAGCAGUGGGAGCUGAGGGAAAGGCGAAAAGAACCCCGGCGAGGGGAGUGAAAAAGAACCUGAAACCGUGUACGUACAAGCAGUGGGAGCCCCACCACUAAGCCAGUGGUGAACUCCACAUACGCAUCCUUUGCUGAGGAUACGGUUAACGGAGCGCAAGCGACGUUCAACCGCAAAAGAAGCAGAGGGGGCUUAGUGGUGGGGUGACUGCGUACCUUUUGUAUAAUGGGUCAGCGACUUAUAUUCUGUAGCAAGGUUAACCGUAUAGGGGAGCCGGAGGGAAACCGAGUCUUAAUUGGGCGUUAAGUUGCAGGGUAUAGACCCGAAACCCGGUGAUCUAGCCAUGGGCAGGUUNAGGGAAACCGAGUCUUAACCGGGCGUUAAGUUGCAGGGUAUAGACCCGAAACCCGGUGAUCUAGCCAUGGGCAGGUUGAAGGUUGGGUAACACUAACUGGAGGACCGAACCGACUAAUGUUGAAAAAUUAGCGGAUGACCUGUGGCUGGGGGUGAAAGGCCAAUCAAACCGGGAGAUAGCUGGUUCUCCCCGAAAGCUAUUUAGGUAGCGCCUCGUGAAUUCAUCUCCGGGGGUAGAGCACUGUUUCGGCUAGGGGGCCAUCCCGGCUUACCAACCCGAUGCAAACUGCGAAUACCGGAGAAUGUUAUCACGGGAGACACACGGCGGGUGCUAACGUCCGUCGUGAAGAGGGAAACAACCCAGACCGCCAGCUAAGGUCCCAAAGUCAUGGUUAAGUGGGAAACGAUGUGGGAAGGCCCAGACAGCCAGGAUGUUGGCUUAGAAGCAGCCAUCAUUUAAAGAAAGCGUAAUAGCUCACUGGUCGAGUCGGCCUGCGCGGAAGAUGUAACGGGGCUAAACCAUGCACCGAAGCUGCGGCAGCGANGUAAUAGCUCACUGGUCGAGUCGGCCUGCGCGGAAGAUGUAACGGGGCUAAACCAUGCACCGAAGCUGCGGCAGCGAACGUAUCACUUAAAGCGAUUCAGCGGGUUACGAUUGACGGAGCGAAGCGACGUCAAAGCGUAUACAAAGUCGAGUCGGUUUAAGGAUACGUUCGUUGGGUAGGGGAGCGUUCUGUAAGCCUGUGAAGGUGGCCUGUGAGGGUUGCUGGAGGUAUCAGAAGUGCGAAUGCUGUUGGGUAGGGGAGCGUUCUGUAAGCCUGUGAAGGUGGCCUGUGAGGGUUGCUGGAGGUAUCAGAAGUGCGAAUGCUGACAUAAGUAACGAUAAAGCGGGUGAAAAGCCCGCUCGCCGGAAGACCAAGGGUUCCUGUCCAACGUUAAUCGGGGCAGGGUGAGUCGACCCCUAAGGCGAGGCCGAAAGGCGUAGUCGAUGGGAAACGGGUUAAUAUUCCCGUACUUGGUGUUACUGCGAAGGGGGGACGGAGAAGGCUAUGUUGGCCGGGCGACGGUUGUCCCGGUUUAAGCGUGUAGGUGUGUGUUCCAGGUAAAUCCGGUUCACUUUAACACUGAGGCGUGAUGACGAGGCACUACGGUGCUGAAGCAACAAAUGCCCUGCUUCCAGGAAAAGCCUCUAAGCAUCAGGUAACAUCAAAUCGUACCCCAAACCGACACAGGUGGUCAGGUAGAGAAUACCAAGGCGCUUGAGAGAACUCGGGUGAAGGAACUAGGCAAAAUGGUGCCGUAACUUCGGGAGAAGGCACGCUGACAUGUAGGUGAAGUGAUUUACUCAUGGAGCUGAAGUCAGUCGAAGAUACCAGCUGGCUGCAACUGUUUAUUAAAAACACAGCACUGUGCAAACACGAAAGUGGACGUAUACGGUGUGACGCCUGCCCGGUGCCGGAAGGUUAAUUGAUGGGGUCAGCGCAAGCGAAGCUCCUGAUCGAAGCCCCGGUAAACGGCGGCCGUAACUAUAACGGUCCUAAGGUAGCGAAAUUCCUUGUCGGGUAAGUUCCGACCUGCACGAAUGGCGUAAUGAUGGCCAGGCUGUCUCCACCCGAGACUCAGUGAAAUUGAACUCGCUGUGAAGAUGCAGUGUACCCGCGGCAAGACGGAAAGACCCCGUGAACCUUUACUAUAGCUUGACACUGAACAUUGAGCCUUGAUGUGUAGGAUAGGUGGGAGGCUUUGAAGUGUGGACGCCAGUCUGCAUGGAGCCGACCUUGAAAUACCACCCUUUAAUGUUUGAUGUUCUAACGUGGACCCGUAAUCCGGGUUGCGGACAGUGUCUGGUGGGUAGUUUGACUGGGGCGGUCUCCUCCUAAAGAGUAACGGAGGAGCACGAAGGUUGGCUAAUCCUGGUCGGACAUCAGGAGGUUAGUGCAAUGGCAUAAGCCAGCUUGACUGCGAGCGUGACGGCGCGAGCAGGUGCGAAAGCAGGUCAUAGUGAUCCGGUGGUUCUGAAUGGAAGGGCCAUCGCUCAACGGAUAAAAGGUACUCCGGGGAUAACAGGCUGAUACCGCCCAAGAGUUCAUAUCGACGGCGGUGUUUGGCACCUCGAUGUCGGCUCAUCACAUCCUGGGGCUGAAGUAGGUCCCAAGGGUAUGGCUGUUCGCCAUUUAAAGUGGUACGCGAGCUGGGUUUAGAACGUCGUGAGACAGUUCGGUCCCUAUCUGCCGUGGGCGCUGGAGAACUGAGGGGGGCUGCUCCUAGUACGAGAGGACCGGAGUGGACGCAUCACUGGUGUUCGGGUUGUCAUGCCAAUGGCACUGCCCGGUAGCUAAAUGCGGAAGAGAUAAGUGCUGAAAGCAUCUAAGCACGAAACUUGCCCCGAGAUGAGUUCUCCCUGAGACUUAGAGUCUCCUGAAGGAACGUUGAAGACGACGACGUUGAUAGGCCGGGUGUGUAAGCGCAGCGAUGCGUUGAGCUAACCGGUACUAAUGAACCGUGAGGCUUAACC